rnacentral:tRNA from 1 species
UCCGAUAUAGUGUAAAGGCUAACAUACCUGGUUCUCACCCAGGAGCUCGGGGUUCGAUUCCCCGUAUCGGAG